GGAACCUUACCUGGGCUAGAAUGUAUUUUGCUGCCUUGAGAAAUUGAGGGUUCCUUCGGGACGGAAUACAAGGUGCUGCAUGGCUGUCGUCAGCUCGUGCCGUGAGGUGUUGGGUUAAGUCCUAUAACGAGCGAAACCCUUUUACUUAAUUGCCAGCACGUAAUGGUGGGGACUUUAAGUAGACUGCCCGUGUAAGCGGGAGGAGGGAGAGGAUGAGGUCAAGUCAUCAUGGCCUUUAUUGCCCAGGGCUACACACGUACUACAAUGGCAUGUACAAAGGGAAGCUACUUGGUAACAAGAUGCAAAUCUCCAAAGCAUGUCUCAGUUCGGAUUGGGGUCUGCAAUUCGACCUCAUGAAGUUGGAAUCGCUAGUAAUCGCGUAUCAGCAAUGACGCGGUGAAUACGUCUCUCGGACCUUGUACACACCGCCCAUCAAGCCAUGGGAGUUGGUAGAGCUUGAAGACAGUGG
rnacentral:rRNA from 1 species